rnacentral:tRNA from 1 species
GUAUUGAUAGCUAAGAGGUCUAAAGCGUCUGCCUUGAAAGCAGACGGCCGUUUUCCGGUCUCCGCGGGUUCGAAUCCUGCUCAAUAUU